rnacentral:rRNA from 1 species
CUCUCGGCUGGCUCUAGAGAUUGAUCGUGGCUCGCUUCUUCUUUCCCCGGUAGCUUGCUCCACCGGAAAAAGAGGAGUGGCGAACGGGUGAGUAACACGUGGGUAACCUGCCCAUCAGAAGGGGAUAACACUUGGAAACAGGUGCUAAUACCGUAUAACAAUCAAAACCGCAUGGUUUUGAUUUGAAAGGCGCUUUCGGGUGUCGCUGAUGGAUGGACCCGCGGUGCAUUAGCUAGUUGGUGAGGUAACGGCUCACCAAGGCCACGAUGCAUAGCCGACCUGAGAGGGUGAUCGGCCACAUUGGGACUGAGACACGGCCCAAACUCCUACGGGAGGCAGCAGUAGGGAAUCUUCGGCAAUGGACGAAAGUCUGACCGAGCAACGCCGCGUGAGUGAAGAAGGUUUUCGGAUCGUAAAACUCUGUUGUUAGAGAAGAACAAGGAUGAGAGUAACUGUUCAUCCCUUGACGGUAUCUAACCAGAAAGCCACGGCUAACUACGUGCCAGCAGCCGCGGUAAUACGUAGGUGGCAAGCGUUGUCCGGAUUUAUUGGGCGUAAAGCGAGCGCAGGCGGUUUCUUAAGUCUGAUGUGAAAGCCCCCGGCUCAACCGGGGAGGGUCAUUGGAAACUGGGAGACUUGAGUGCAGAAGAGGAGAGUGGAAUUCCAUGUGUAGCGGUGAAAUGCGUAGAUAUAUGGAGGAACACCAGUGGCGAAGGCGGCUCUCUGGUCUGUAACUGACGCUGAGGCUCGAAAGCGUGGGGAGCAAACAGGAUUAGAUACCCUGGUAGUCCACGCCGUAAACGAUGAGUGCUAAGUGUUGGAGGGUUUCCGCCCUUCAGUGCUGCAGCUAACGCAUUAAGCACUCCGCCUGGGGAGUACGACCGCAAGGUUGAAACUCAAAGGAAUUGACGGGGGCCCGCACAAGCGGUGGAGCAUGUGUUUAAUUCGAAGCAACGCGAAGACCUUACCAGGUCUUGACAUCCUUUGACCACUCUAGAGAUAGAGCUUCCUCUUCGGGGGCAAAGUGACAGGUGGUGCAUGGAUGUCGUCAGCUCGUGUCGUGAGAAUGUUGGGUAAGUCCCGCACGGGGGGCAACCCUUAUUGUUAGUGCAUCAAUCAGUGGGCACCUCUAGCAAGACUGCCGGUGACUAACGAGAGGUGGGGAUAGACGGUCAAAUCAUCAUGCCCUUAUAGAACUGGCUCAACCACGUCUAAUGAAGUCACGGAGUUCGAGUCCGGAGGCUACGCUAUCUCCUUAAGAGCUUCUCUUUCGA